UCGAAUCAUGCUCAAAAGUAAGAAACUACCAAAAUAAUUGUGGGUUGAAGUUGUGGCGUGUGUAGUCUAAUUAACUAAUAGAUCUCCAACAAUAAGUGUGUGAAAAACACCACAAGAUGCAUAGAGUGGAAGAAAUUCUAGAUUAUCACACUUGAGGGUCACAUAUGUUCAUAUUUUAGACGAUAAGAAAGCCAAACUUGACGACAAGAGCUAGAAAUUCAACCUUGUUGGUUAUCAUCAAAGUUCAUAG
rnacentral:lncRNA from 1 species